ensembl:lncRNA
CCGUGUUACGUCCUUGCUUUGUGUGCUCUUUCCUGACCAUCCAAGUAGUUUUUGACUAGUGUGGCACGGUGCUAGUUAAAAUUCAUUCUUUAAAAGUGAAUAUCCACUUAGCUCCUCUCCUCUGAACUUUCGUCAUUCAUUAUUAACAGUGAAAGCCAAAGUGCAUGAAACAAGUUCAGCCCUAUCUGUGUCUGGCAUGAAAGUGAUGUCUGGGCGUAUUAGUGGGACACGGCUCUAUCUUACAUAAAGUGAUGCCUGGGCCCACAACAAAGGCUCUGACUCUCAGCGCCUAAUAGGAUCACCUACUUCAAAUGUGAAACUUCCUUCUUUGAAAUAUUUGUUGAGAUUUCAUAAACCUAUGAAGAUUCUCAAACUCAAACAAAACCUCCUAGGCCUCAGUGCAAGCUCCGACUCUAAAGAGCUUUCUGUUCUAUAAACCGGUUAUUGGAUCUGGGUCCCGAGCCGGGCAGACAGGGAAGUGUGGGCAAGUCUGCAGAGGGAGAGCUUGCUCUCCACUUUCGCUUUUUGAUACAAAACAUAAAAGUCAUCUGGCUUUGACUGCAGAAAAUGAAUCAUAUUAAGCAUUUUAAAAGCACUAUUCUUUUGGUAAGGCCUAAUUUCAGACCGAUUAACACUUUAAUAUGAAACAGAAGCACAUCAUUUCAUUAGAAGACAAAACAAGGCUUCUCAGCUACCAUAUGCUGUCUCUUCCUUUGGAAAAAAAAAAUCUUUUGAAACCUCAGAUUGCAGAUUGAGCUACAAGACAGAAUGCAGAUUUGGCACCAACGCCCACCCCAGCUGUCUUUUCAGAAUUGUACUCUCUCAGUUUGAGGUUGAAAAGGAGAAAGGGGAAGCUUUACAAAUUGCUAGAACAUGGACACACCUCUGUAAUCAUGUUGAAAGUCACAUCCAAACAUAUGAAGGUAAAAUUAUGAUUUAUACAGUUAUUAAUUUUGUGUCAUAUCUUUGGCAUGGAUGAUAUGCCAGAGACUCUACUGCUCACCAAAUACUCUAGCUGCUGUCAACAUUUGUCUUUUUCCUGGAAAGGGGGGUGGUGCCUUCUGGCUAGUUCUCGCUGAUGAAAUGUGCAUGAGUCACUUCUAUAGAUGAAUCACACAGGUUCUCAGAGGUUUUCCUUUUCUUGUCAUGGUCUGUGGAGGCCACAGAGUUGUAGGAGAUUCAGUUACAAAAUAGGGGGGCUCCCACAGCCCACUCCUCUGAUGGGAGUUGAGUUCCCCUCUACCUGUCCAGGAUGAGUAGCAUGAUAGAGAAAUUACAAUUGGCUUGGGUAAAGACUGAGAUUUGGUGGUUGCUUAUUGCUGUAUUUAAUGAGGACUGUCUUAAUUAAUGAGUAGGCCAGUGAUACUCACAUCACCUUUCUGUGAUGAAAUAGGAUGCACACACCAGAAUAUAAAUUAGCACAUUACUCAGGUUGGGAAAGUCUCACCAUGAGAAAUAGGUCAGAUGACCUGAACAGUGCACCUUCUCACAGAAGCUCCAUAACUAACCACACCUGACAAGGCAGAGUUCAUAGACACACUCUGAGAGUCACUGUAGCAGACAAGUAGACAAUGGCACUUUGUGGGUUUUUUUUUCUUCUUGGUAAACCUAAGUCUUUCCACAAAGAAUAGGGAUAGUCACAAAGGGAAAGAAAAGUACAUAAUAGACCAGAUAAUAUUUUUCAAGAGAUAGCCUUUAUGAUUUUGUCUUUCUAGUAAUUUGAAACCACAAUCUACCAAAAAGAAACAGGAAAAAUCUUCUCCAUUUUGAUUCUUCUCAAAGGAACAACAGUAUUUUUCUCUUCCAGAAAAAUCACUGCAACUGCAAGCACAAAACACAGCACUAACCCCCCCCACACACACACACACUCACACACACUCACACACUUCUAUCUGAAUAUUUAGGAUAGUUACUAGUGUAAGUUAAAAACACAGUACAUUAUUGGGGAGUGAGUGAAUAAAAUCUGUUUGCAUUAGCCA